rnacentral:rRNA from 1 species
AUUUGAGUUUUGGUUUAAAGAGUAAUCGCCUUUGGAUGGGUCUGCGGCGGAUUAGGUAGACGCCGGUGUAACGUACCGGCGUGCCUGUCAUCCGUACGGGUUGUGGGAGCAAGAGCCCGGAGAUGGAUUCUGAGACACGAAUCCAGGCCCUACGGGGCGCAGCAGGCGCGAAAACUCUACAAUGCAGGCAACUGCGAUAGGGGGACAUCGAGUGGCGCUCACUUUGGGCGCCUGUCCCACCGUCUAAAAAACGGUGGUUAGCAAGGGCCGGGUAAGACCGGUGCCAGCCGCCGCGGUAAUACCGGCGGCUCGAGUGGUGGCCGAUAUUAUUGAGUCUAAAGGGUCCGUAGCCGGCUUCGUAAGUCCCCCGGGAAAUCCAGCGGCUUAACCGUUGGGCUUCCGUGGGAUACUGCGUUGCUUGGGACUGGGAGAGGUAGGAGGUACUCGGGGGGUAGGGGUGAAAUCCUGUAAUCCCCUGGGGACCACCGGUGGCGAAGGCGUCCCACCAGAACAGGUCCGACGGUGAGGGACGAAAGCUAGGGGCACGAACCGGAUUAGAUACCCGGGUAGUCCUAGCCGUAAACGAUGCCCGCUAGGUGUCACGGCGGUCGUGAAUCGCCGUGGUGCCGUAGGGAAGCCGCGA